CUGCAGCUAAUUAAGCCGGCCGUGGCCCCCCCCCACAGUGGGGUCCCGGCGUGCACUGGCUGCGCACAGCACCCCCCCGGCUGUGUAGGGCGCCCCACUGCGCCCCCCUCAGUGGGGUGCUCCAAGGGGCCGGGGGCACAGCC
rnacentral:snoRNA from 1 species